GUUGGUGUCCAUAGAUCAGGUGACACACCCAGCCCCAUUCCGAACCUGGCAGUUAAGACCUGAUUCGCCGAUGAUACUGCGUAUUCAUGCGUGGGAAAGUAGGACGAUGCCUGCA
rfam:Desulfovibrio litoralis DSM 11393 genome assembly, contig: EJ49DRAFT_scaffold00004.4